rnacentral:rRNA from 1 species
AGUGAACGCUGGCGGUAGGCCUAACACAUGCAAGUCGAGCGGCAGCACAGUAAGCGCUUGCUCUUACGGGUGGCGAGUGGCGGACGGGUGAGGAAUACAUCGGCAUCUACUUUUUCGGGGGGGAUAACGUAGGGAAACUUACGCUAAUACCGCAUACGACCUACGGGUGAAAGCAGGGGAUCUUCGGACCUUGCGCGAUUGUAUGAGCCGAUGUCGGAUUAGCUAGUUGGCGGGGUAAAGGCACACCAAGGCGACGAUCCGUAGCUGGUCUGAGAGGAUGAUCAGCCACACUGGAACUGAGACACGGUCCAGACUCCUACGGGAGGCAGCAGUGGGGAAUAUUGGACAAUGGGCGCAAGCCUGAUCCAGCCAUACCGCGUGAGUGAAGAAGGCCUUCGGGUUGUAAAGCCCUUUUGUUGGGAAAGAAAAGCAGCAGGUUAAUACCCCGCUGUUCUGACGGUACCCAAAGAAUAAGCACCGGCUAACUUCGUG